rnacentral:rRNA from 1 species
CAGCCGCCGCGGGAAUACCGAGGGUGCGAGCGUUAAUCGGAUUUACUGGGCGUAAAGCGUGCGUAGGCGGCUAAUUGAGUCGGAUGUGAAAUCCCCGAGCUUAACUUGGGAAUUGCAUUCGAUACUGGUUAGCUAGAGUGUGGGAGAGGAUGGUAGAAUUCCAGGUGUAGCGGUGAAAUGCGUAGAGAUCUGGAGGAAUACCGAUGGCGAAGGCAGCCAUCUGGCCUAACACUGACGCUGAGGUACGAAAGCAUGGGGAGCAAACAGGAUUAGAUACCCCCGUAGUCCCUGUCUCUUAUAA